CACUAUUGUUCGUCCGUACUUUGACUACUGCUGUGAAGUAUGGGAUGUAUUUGGCGAAACUCAAUCAAAACGACUGCAAAAACUGCAAAAUAGGGCGGCAAGAAUUAUUCUGAAUAUAAGCAAUGACGUAGAUUAUACGAUUGCGUUACGUACUUUGGGCUGGGAGCCACUCCAAACUGAAAGGAAGAAAACUAAAGCAAGAAUGAUGUAUAAGUUAUUAAACAAAAUGGGCCCAAAAUCACUCACAAAUCUAUUUUCGUUUAAGAGUGAGAAAACUAAU